rnacentral:rRNA from 1 species
UACGAAGGGUGCAAGCGUUACUCGGAAUUACUGGGCGUAAAGCGUGCGUAGGCGGUUUGUUAAGUCUGUCGUGAAAGCCCCGGGCUCAACCUGGGAAUGGCGAUGGAUACGGGCAGACUAGAGUUCGGUAGGGGAGACUGGAAUUCCUGGUGUAGCGGUGAAAUGCGCAGGUAUCAGGAGGAACACCGGUGGCGAAGGCGGGUCUCUGGGCCGAAACUGACGCUGAGGAGCGAAAGCGUGGGGAGCAAACAGG